CUGCUGCCUCCCGUAGGAGUCUGGUCCGUGUCUCAGUACCAGUGUGGGGGGCCUUCCUCUCAGAACCCCUAGACAUCGUCGCCUUGGUGGGCCGUUGCCCCGCCAACUAGCUAAUGUCACGCAUGCCCAUCCGUUGCCGGAAUCGCUCCCUUUGGCCGCAGGGCCAUGCAGCCCCGCGGCGUUACGCGGUAUUAGACGGGAUUUCUCCCGAUUAUCCCCCUGCAACGGGCAGGUCGCAUACGCGUUACUCACCCGUGCG
rnacentral:rRNA from 1 species